rnacentral:rRNA from 1 species
AAGCAGCUUGCUGCUUUGCUGACGAGUGGCGGACGGGUGAGUAAUGUCUGGGAAACUGCCUGAUGGAGGGGGAUAACUACUGGAAACGGUAGCUAAUACCGCAUAACGUCGCAAGACCAAAGAGGGGGACCUUCGGGCCUCUUGCCAUCGGAUGUGCCCAGAUGGGAUUAGCUAGUAGGUGGGGUAACGGCUCACCUAGGCGACGAUCCCUAGCUGGUCUGAGAGGAUGACCAGCCACACUGGAACUGAGACACGGUCCAGACUCCUACGGGAGGCAGCAGUGGGGAAUAUUGCACAAUGGGCGCAAGCCUGAUGCAGCCAUGCCGCGUGUAUGAAGAAGGCCUUCGGGUUGUAAAGUACUUUCAGCGGGGAGGAAGGGAGUAAAGUUAAUACCUUUGCUCAUUGACGUUACCCGCAGAAGAAGCACCGGCUAACUCCGUGCCAGCAGCCGCGGUAAUACGGAGGGUGCAAGCGUUAAUCGGAAUUACUGGGCGUAAAGCGCACGCAGGCGGUUUGUUAAGUCAGAUGUGAAAUCCCCGGGCUCAACCUGGGAACUGCAUCUGAUACUGGCAAGCUUGAGUCUCGUAGAGGGGGGUAGAAUUCCAGGUGUAGCGGUGAAAUGCGUAGAGAUCUGGAGGAAUACCGGUGGCGAAGGCGGCCCCCUGGACGAAGACUGACGCUCAGGUGCGAAAGCGUGGGGGAGCAAACAGGAUUAGAUACCCUGGUAGUCCACGCCGUAAACGAUGUCGACUUGGAGGUUGUGACCUUGAGGCGUGGCUUCCGGAGCUAACGCGUUAAGUCGACCGCCUGGGGAGUACGGCCGCAAGGUUAAAACUCAAAUGAAUUGACGGGGGCCCGCACAAGCGGUGGAGCAUGUGGUUUAAUUCGAUGCAACGCGAAGAACCUUACCUGGUCUUGACAUCCACAGAACUUUCCAGAGAUGGAUUGGUGCCUUCGGGAACUGUGAGACAGGUGCUGCAUGGCUGUCGUCAGCUCGUGUUGUGAAAUGUUGGGUUAAGUCCCGCAACGAGCGCAACCCUUAUCCUUUGUUGCCAGCGGUCCGGCCGGGAACUCAAAGGAGACUGCCAGUGAUAAACUGGAGGAAGGUGGGGAUGACGUCAAGUCAUCAUGGCCCUUACGACCAGGGCUACACACGUGCUACAAUGGCGCAUACAAAGAGAAGCGACCUCGCGAGAGCAAGCGGACCUCAUAAAGUGCGUCGUAGUCCGGAUUGGAGUCUGCAACUCGACUCCAUGAAGUCGGAAUCGCUAGUAAUCGUGGAUCAGAAUGCCACGGUGAAUACGUUCCCGGGCCUUGUACACACCGCCCG